GGAGAGGAGCCUGAGGAAAAGAAGGUCCAGUGACAGGCCCAAGGAUCUCACUAUAAACCACUGGAUUUUUGGAACUUCAUUAUAUAGACCAAGGCACAAGCUACUGGUGAAGCUUUUAUUUCCAACACUGAUCACAUUGCAUGAAAUUACUGGUGAU